AGCUCCAAUAGCGUAUAUUAAAGUUGUUGUGGUUAAAAAGCUCGUAGUUGGAUCUCGGCGGUCUGAGGGCGGUUCACUUGCUAGUGCUACUGCCCUAUAGACCGUAGUUUUGCCAGAGGUCGCAGGGUGCUCUUAAUCGAGUGUCUUGUGAUGCUGGCAGGUUUACUUUGAAAAAAUUAGAGUGCUCAAAGCAGGCUUUUACGCCUGAAUAUUCGUGCAUGGAAUAAUAGAAUAGGAAGUCGUUUCUAUUUUGUUGGUUUUCGGAAAUCGACUUAAUGAUUAAUAGGGACAGUCGGGGGCAUUUGUAUUCAAACGACAGAGGUGAAAUUCUUGGACCGUUUGAAGACAAACUACUGCGAAAGCAUUUGCCAAGAAUGUUUUCA
rnacentral:rRNA from 1 species